GCGAGCCGCUGUCACCGCAGCGCUGCGUUGGCUCACGGAUGGGUUUGCGCUCUGUUUUGGUGUUUGCUCAGGGUACACUCCUGGGAGCAGGUUUACGGCUGCGGGGCUCGGCUUUGGCACUCGGCUGGAAUGCCCAGAAGAAACGGCUGCCCUGAGUGCUGGUCGAACAACUCUCUGACAGAACAGGGCCUGCUGGCUACCUUGGUGUCAUAUUGGCUUUGUAAAACUUAAGCCAGGCUGCCUGCAAGGAUUACACGGAUGGACAGAGCCAGAUCUUGGGAAUGCUUCAAACAGCAGGAUCCCAGGACCCACCUGCCAAACUGAGAAGAAAGAGAAGCCUCUUCUACCUCGGAACUAGGACUUCCUGUUUACUGAAGAGGUAUCACUACUUUAUCUUCCAGAUCUUACAGUUGCCAGAGGAUGAAUGUAUGUGUUUGUCCCUUCUCACUACUGACAGCACCCUGAAGACAGAGGUUUCUAUUGGCCUCUUCCACAAAACUCCUGGCUGCCAGUAGCUCCAAGGCUCUUUGCUGUUCCCUCUGCUGCUGCCCAGUUUUUCUCAGGAGCAGAUGUAGGACAGAGCAAAAGCAGUGCUUGACAUUUGCGCAUUAUCUACAGUUUCUCAAGGAGACCAGUGAAGCUAAGCAGGCUGUACAAUGCCUUGUGUGAUUGUACAGCAAAACUGUAAUAGCAGCAAUGAAAAUGAAGCCAGUGGCCAACAGCACAUCAACUCACCCUUGGAAUAUUAGAUUUUACAGUGCAAAGAAUGGGAACAUUUCAGAUUUGUAACAUAAAUUUUACUGAAAAUAAGAGUUUGCAGGAGAGAAUUCGCCAUCACAUAUAAACAUCUGAGUGAAUCUCCACAAGGUAUUUACUAAAAUCUUUACAAGGAAAGUAUGUCAUUGCCUAAGUAGAACUGCACUGAACAGUUAUCAUGUGUGUUAAAAAAAAUUACAAACUGUUUAGACUAAAAAUAUUGUUGAGAAAGACAAGUAGGGACAAUUAAAGAUUUCAUCUGAAUGAUAACAUUUUUCUCACUUGAAUGCUUCAAAGUACAACCUUUCAGCCAUGCAGAUUUCUUUUAUAAUUACAAUAAUUAAAUAUUCUGCAGAGAUACAACACUAUGCCUGCUCUUAAUUUUCAAAUCAGAGUUUUUCAGUAAAGUACUAAGCAUUUUGAAUUCAUUUACAUCAAUAUAAAUUUGCAGCACCUCCAUGAAGGUGAAUAGAAUGACACCAGUUCAUACUAAAAUAACUUCAAAUCAAGCCUGGUUCUUCUGAGCAUCAUUGGUUCACUGAUGUCUCCCUCUAUCCUACAAACAGCACCUGAAUCUCACUUGAAGUUAUUCAGCAUAAUUCUUCCUGGGUUUCUACUAUGAUUCUUUCUCUUCUCCAUAGAUGGAGAAGAUAAGAUGGAAAACAAGCAAGGAGCAAGAAUACAAGUGGUAUUUCCCUACUGUUCUCCUGGAUAACAGAAUAAGCCCACAGCACUGAGGCCUGCACAGAUCACACUGGUACUCUAAUUCUUCAGUGUCUGGCAUUAAUGUUAACAGAGAGUGGACUGAGGUCAAUGUUUCUGAAAUUUUAGUGUUCAGUGAGCCACUGCCCAUUCCUGGAAUUUUUUAAGUACCCACUAGUAAUUUUUCAGUACAACUCCAUCUACACUCAUCAUAAAAGUUUCAGCUGAAAGCCUUGCAAAGGUAAUGUAAUGUAAGGCCUAGAUUUUAUAAGCCACUUUUACUGUCUCAUUUUCUCUCCUUUUAAAUUAGUAGGUACCUGUCUUGGGAAAUUUACCUGUGUUUUAAUGAUAAAAUAAUAUUAAAAACUGUGGAGUAAUUAAUAUUAUAUGUGAUCUGUCUUAAAUCCAUGAUCUUAAAUCAAAGUGGUCUGUGGAAAGGGCAUCUUUUGUCAGCUGAGAUGAGCAGCCUUUCAGCAGGGAAUGAAUAACUGUCUGUUUUCCUAAGGAAGCACAUUAUUCCUUUAUUCCUAUACUACUUUAAAAAUUUUAAGAAGGUUUUUUUUUUUUAGAAAAACAGUUUUGUACUUAGGGAAUCAAGGAAUGGUCUAAAAAAAUUCAAAAAAUCAUACUAGUUGAGUUAUGGGUCUAUCUAUAUCAUGAGGAGAAACAGUCUUUCAUUAUCUACUCACUUCCAAAUCAAAGUUGGAGGAGUAAGUUGUUGAAUGAAUUCAAGGACAAAGAAAUACAGACUGAACACUCUUCAUGUUUGCAUUCUUCAUGUUUGGCUUCAAUGUUAUAGAAAGACCAGAGACAAAAGAAAAACAUUAUCUAGUAGGUAGAAAGCAAAGGUGAAAUUAAAUGCUUCCAAAAGUAGCUUGAAGCACAGGAGUUGUGGAAAGUCUUCCCUAGUUGUUUUUAAUCCUUGUUUUAGGUUUGCCUACUGCAAGCAGGACUUGAUUUCCAUUGGUGCUUGAUUUUUCAUUGCAUUUAUUCCCAUUCGGCACAUUCUGAUGUCGGAAUGUUUUUUGCUGAUGGUUCUAGUGCCCAUUUCCAGAACAGAAGAGGAGGUAGCCAGAUAGCCUGGUGGAAACAUGUUAUAUGACCCCUGAUUCAAAGUCUACAUUGAUCAGCCUUGGCUUCUCCAUUUAGAAGGAAUUAUUCCAAUUUAAAGUUUUCUCAGAAACAGCUGAGGUAAAUCACUGGUUGCAAUGUAUGUUGAACUAGAAUUAAAUUGCCUUUAGUGAAGUGAGUUUGGAUGAUGUAAGAAAACUUGAUUUCUGCAGAAAUGAUUGAGGCUAGAAUAAUUCCCACUACAAAGAGGGAGAGAAGCCUAAUGAGAAAUGCAAAUGGUUUAAAAAUAUAUAGACAGGACUUUGAGUCUCAAUUUGCACCUACUCAUGGCUUGUAAAUUACACCAGAUCAUAGUCUCUUACAGUUACACAUUGUCAUGUGUCUAACAACUCACACCUCUUCUGCAGUAAACAGUCAGGCAAAGGAUGUGUUCUUGAAGUGAGCCAGUUCAAGAGGUGAAACUGAGAUGAAAUCUCCUUAAAAGCAUGUCAGAUUGCAGUUUUCACAUGUCCCCAUUAAGCCCAUAAUUGCCUUUAUCUGGAUCUAUAACCCAGAGGAAAAUACUAUCUUCCUAAUUCAUUGCAAAAAGUUCUUAGCAACCCACAUGCUUUAAACUAUUUUUUCCCAAUCAAUGCUAUGAAAUUGCAUAAUUCAUAGAGACUAAAUUUUUUUUAUAAGAACUUCUUUUUGGUAGUGGUUCAUUUGAAAAGUCCUAGCAAUUUUCAUUUUUAUCUAUUAUGCACCAUUUCUGAAUUUUUGCACUGCUCUUCUUGAAAAAUUAGGACUGUAUUUGUGAGUUUAGAAUGGGUAGAUAUUUUUUAAAGAGCAAACAAUACAAAAAUAGGAAAUUCACAAAAGCAUGCUGAAAAAGUGCUGAAAGUGACCUUGUUUCCAGAUGUGCAUUUCUGACAUAAUUUACUUAUCCAUUCAUAUCCUAAUAAAGGUUAUCCCCAAGAAUUUGUCAAGAUAACAAUCUGUUUUUUAAAGGAGCAUAUCAUCAGAAUGUUAGCUCUGGGAACUGCAGGUCCAAACCCCAUCAACUCUAUGGCAGGGGCAAUGGGAGUAUAUAUUUGUUUGGAUAAAGCUUAGCCAAGCUUUCAUGUUUAAUCCUUUCACCCUGUUUCUCACACUCCUGGUGUAUCUCCCCUUUUCCUACUCGCAAGAAAGAAAAUUCUAUUUAUUUUGCCUGGACACGGAACCAUCUGAUACUGCUCACUAUUCUAGUGACAGCUAAACUUUCUUCAUUGCUGUUUAGUUGGACACACAGGGACAGUUUCUGGCUUUGUUUCAACGCAAAUACUUCCGUGUCUUUUUCACUGUUUCAGUUUCCUGAUGGAUUUGUCUUCAAAAUGGCCAGUCUGGAUCACAGCAGACCUGUUCAGCUUGGCAUCAGUUGCCUGCAGAAGGCUACAUUCUCCAGUUCAAGAACAUGCUGGGACAAAUGGUUUAUAGACUUUCAUUCAUUUUUGUUCCAUUGAUUUGUCCAGUAGCUGUGUGAGCCCCCAAAAGCCUCUGGCACCAACCAGAUCCUGCAGUGUUCUCAAGUUGAAUUGCACUUCUGGUGAAAAAGCACCGAUUUUAAAUUUUUUGGGACCUUGUACCCACACAUUUCUCUUAGUUUCCUCUAGUUCUGCCUUGUGAAGGAGGGAAUAAUGACUCUUUGGUUCCUCUCUCUACACUGCUUAUGUUUUUAGGAGUCCUUGUCAAAUCUCCCAUCUGCUUCUUUUGUUCCACUCUGAAGAAUCCCCAGCUAUUUAAUCAUUCACUGUGUACCAUUUGUUCAGCUUUCUUGCCCUUUAUAAAACUGUCUGUCGUAACUCAGGGAUCUCUUCUGCCCAAGUAACAGGACUUCUCUCUUCAGCACUUCUCUGUCUGCACACAAUGUUAGGAUUCCUGUGACAGCAUUGUUUUUUUCUGCCAUUUAAACCAAAUAACUCAGAGCAUUACAUACUUUUUUCCCCUGGCUUUCAUUUUUGAUAUCUAGAGGAAUUUUCCAUCUCUCACCUCAGACUAUGCUUCUUUUUUCAGAUAACUUCUAUGUCAAACAAUACAAUUCAAGAGGCAGAUUUCCGAGACUUCACUAGCGACUUCCAUCUCCUUCCUCUGCCCAAAAAACUCCAUCAAGCUGU